UUGCGAUCUUAUAUGGGGCCUCAGCCCCCCUGACUGUAUUAGAUGAUGUUACUGAACCAACAUGUCAUAGUGCCAUAGUAAUAAUGAUUUGUGUGCCAGGCUAAAAGACCUACAGGUGAUACAGAAAGAAAUCUGCUCACAGCUGAAAGCAGCCUAUGCCCCGGAGACCCCUGAGACAUCCCAUCAGUUCCAGGUUGCAGCUACACUGAGCCCAGACACUCGAGCCUCGCUGGAAAGGACCGUACCUGGUGCUGCUGACCACCCUGACAGCUGUCAAUUCUCAGCCCUCACCAGCCGUGUACUAGCUGUUGGGGCUGAGAGCUGGGACCUAGAGGGAAAUUCAGUCAUGUUUGUCCUGGGUUCUAUCAAGAUAGGUGUGGGAUAGGCUUGAUUUCCAUUACAAAUGAUGUAACAUUGCAUAUGUUAGUACUCUUAACACUUCUUGGGACUGUGCCUCAGGGAUCACAGUCCGUAUAAGCUUAGAAGUUCUAAAAGCUAGUCAUGACCUUGGUGGAUAGGCUUGGAUAGUGUCCAGGUUAGAAUCCUCAUGUUAAGACUACAAUACCAAGCUGUUAUGCUAGAUGAAGCUGAGUUCUCCAUGAAGUUCUAGGAUUAGAACUAUUAACAAAAA
rnacentral:lncRNA from 1 species